ensembl:lncRNA
AUGCUACUCAGCCUUGGACAGAUAUUGCUAACCCAGGUAAUGCUAACCCUGCAAAUACCAUCCAUGCAGGUAGAGAAGCUUUUAGAGAUAGCGCUGUGUUGGCAAACGUUGCACUUGGUAGUAGCAAAGCUAGUCCUUUAAUAGAUAAUGUUAAUGCUAUCUUGGCAUCCGAAUGUAACUACUGCAGCCAAACAUAUUGUAACGUUACACAGGGCUUUCCAGCUAGCACCGCUAACAGGAGAACCUCUGUGCCCCAGCCGAUCAAUAACAAAACUGAAUCUAUUGGUUGCAAUGAACCAGGGAGGAUGGAAUCCAUAAUUUAUGCUUCACUAUUAAGUCCCGAGAAAAAACAGAAGAACUCGACAACCCAACAUCCGUCUUUACAACAGCAGAUGACAGCUCCGGUGUUUGUCGAUGCUAAGCUAUCUGAGGCUAUGAGGAAACUGGGAAACGCAGACGCUGCUUAUUGGACCUUUUCUGGAACAAGAGAAGAAGAUGGAACGUUACUUCUGGAGAGCAGAGAGGAAUCGAUAGAGUGGAGCGAUGUUUCUACAUCAUUCAGUGAGAUAAAUAAUGGGGUUAGCUGGACAGUUCGCCCGGUUGGACUCCACCCCCAAGAGAAGCCCAAGCGGUGCAUCUUGGGAAGAGGACAGAGGAGCUGUAGACAAAUCACAGCGUCUUCUCCCAGGCUCAUCAGCCAAAUACAGCUUUCUGCCGAUUCCCUCUGCUCACCUUCAACCCACCGCACUCGUUUGCCACAGCACCUGGCCCACACAGCUUUACCUGUGAACACAUCCCCUGAUGAUAUCCCCACGUGCUCAUCUGUCUGUUGUCCUUGCAGACAGAAGCCACCGGUUCUUAACAACAAGCCAAAUCUCUCACCCAAAACCCUCAACCAACUCUUUGGGAUCCCGUGUUUGACGGACACUACAAGCUCUACAAGAACCAUGGGUACCUUGGAGUACCCUGGAACACUGGGAACUAGGGGAAGCAUGGAGAACAGUAGCACCCUGGGAAGCAUUGGCACCUAUGGGACCGGUGGAUCCUCAGAGACCAGUAGCACCAUGGGGACCAUGGAUAUCUAUCGGAAACGUGGACCUUCAGAGAAAAAUAGCACCCUGGGGAUCACAGAUCCCUGGAUUAUCAACACAAUUUCUGACCCAGAAGCAGAGGCUUUGCUCUACACAAGCUUGAUGACUGAAGACAAAGACGAGAAGGAGACGGUGGGCAAGAGAGGGAUGGAGUCACCAAUGAUGAUGACAAUAAUGUCCACCAGGAAAAAAAAGAAGGCCAGGAGGAGGAGGAGAAGCUCAGGCAGGCCCCUGCUGAUGACGUCAUCCCCAAGGGCCUCCUCCUCCUCGUCUUCCACACCCUCCUCGUCUCCAUCUUCAUCUGGAGACGAAGGAGACGUGAAUGAGAAAACCCGUUGGAGGACGAGGACCAUGGCACGCAACCACAAGAGCUCCUGUGCAGGGAUUGGUUGGAGCAGGUCACCCCCCAAAAACCAUCUCGGGGCGGAAGGGUUGCUGCGAGAUCUUCAGAUCCACGAGGAAGCAGAGAGAGAGCGAGGAAACAAGGAAACAGAGAAGAGGAAGGAAUUACGAGAGGAUCACAAGUUUGAGUCCAGUCGAAUACAAACCACCGAGGAUCUGUUCAAGGUCAUCCACAGCAGUGCAUUGUGGGAAGGCACAGCGUGAAUGUCCAGGUAAUGCAGAUCCAAGAGGAAGAUGUUCGGAAGGCGAGAUUCAGAAGACAACCGACAUCUAACUCCCUCCUCCUCCCUCACCGCCCCUCGGCCUCCUCUCUCCAGGCCUACCGCGGCUCCCAGAGGUCAAAGGUCAGGCAAGAGCGAGAGCUUCAAGCUCCUUUUGCUGAGGAAAAGGAGUCGGUGGGAUUCCUCUUCUCGGAAAUCGGCUGUUGAGCGACUUUGCAAACUUGCUUCUUCUGAGACUCCUGCUGACCUCCAAAGGGCGACGCCCACAGCAAUGACUACAUCAAUGAUGUCACCGAUGACACUGCCGGGUACACACAACCUUAAUGGCCUUUUUACUCAGAGCCAGAACUUCUCCAUGAUCGGGUUUGGAUGGGGAGAGAGAGUUCAGAAGCAGAAUCACCUCCUUUUCAGCUCCUCCUCCUCUAACUCCUCCCACCUCCUCUUCCUCUCCUCAUCCUCGCAGCCUCGUUCCCUCAAUCCCCCCUGCUCUUCCUGCCGCUGCUGCCUGAAGGCCACCCCGGAGAUGAAGAAACGAGGGGGGAAAAGGAAGAGAACGAUGUUUUUAUGGAGACCGCAGGAAGCGAAGGAGAAAAUCUUAACUGACUGUGACAAUGUCUUCUACUGAUCCGGUCUCAUGUCCCACAGCAGCAGAAGACCAGACUUGACUCAACUGGACUGGACUAAACCUAACUUAACUUAACAAGACUUGACUAACCCGAAUGAAAUCCAGCAGAUUGGAGUAACACAGAAGUGGACUCAACUAGACCACUCUAAACCCUACCCAACUAAACUGGAGCCCACCACGUCGGACUCGACCUGUAACUCAAACUUACAGUUGAAACUACCGAUCUUUAUGAACUUGUAUUUUUGACUUUAGCUUGAAUAAUCUUUGUUGAUACUUAGUUUUAAGUGAAUGAAUCAGAAUUUGUGGUUCUUUGUCCGUGUCUUCUGUCUGACCAAUUGGGAGAGAAUGUUACCAUUGACAAUUACAAUAUAGGGAAUGUUAUUAAGUAUUUUUUUAAUUUAAAUUGUUGUUUUUAAAGCUAGAAACAAUAAGUGAUUUACAUUGUACCAUUUGAGUCUCCACGGUAAUGAGUUGAUCUUUGUAAACAAAGUGGUGGACAGAAAGAUAAAUAAAUAUUAUAGUUGAAAACAGUGGCGGUUGGUGACAUUUUGUUUUUGUUAGGACCAACCAAUCAGCAAACAUCCCCAUAUGGGUCAAUGCAUAAAAAGGUAUCAAACAUGCAUCAUUGCUUUGCAGUUAACUAUUUCACAUUUGUUCCAACGGUUUAACAUUAUAAGGACAUGUUAUUCAUACAAUUCAGUAUAUUAAUUAAUAUAUAUGUCAAUACAUAAUCACACAUAUUGAAAUUCAUUAAUCGUGAUUAAAAGUGUUUUUUCUUUUUAAAGACUAAAUCUUAUAAAUUAAUGAGUAAUCACUUUUGAAAGUGUGUAUAUUAGACACUGUUGUUUAAUUGUAUUU